rnacentral:rRNA from 1 species
UACAGAGGGUGCUAGCGUUGUUCGGAAUUAUUGGGCGUAAAGCGCGUGUAGGCGGCCAAGCAAGUCGGGUGUGAAAGCCCUCAGCUUAACUGAGGAAGUGCGCCCGAAACUACAUGGCUUGAGUACCGGAGAGGGUGGCGGAAUUCCCGGUGUAGAGGUGAAAUUCGUAGAUAUCGGGAGGAACACCAGUGGCGAAGGCGGCCACCUGGACGGCUACUGACGCUGAGACGCGAAAGCGUGGGGAGCAAACAGG